CCCUUAGAUGUCCUGGGCCGCACGCGUGCUACACUGAGUGGAUCAGCGGGUCAGGUUGCGCGAAAGCGUUUCCUAAUCUUUAAAUCCGCUCGUGAUGGGGAUUGACGGUUGCAAUUUUCUGUCAUGAACGAGGAAUACCUUGUAAGCGCGGGUCAUCAUCCCGCGCUGAAUACGUCCCUGCCCUUUGUACACACCGCCCGUCGCUCCUACCGAUUGAGUGGUCCGGUGAGGCUUUGGGAUCUGAGCGGAAAGAGCGUUUCGCUGUUUCUGCUCGGAAAACCCAGUCGAACCUUAUCAUUUAGAGGAAGGAGAAGUCGUAACA
rnacentral:rRNA from 1 species